AUCUGGCUGGGGCUCCCGGGAUGGCGGGGUGAACAGGAGGAUGUACGAGAAAAAUGAGAAGGCUGUCAGCUCCCUUGCCUUCUUGGGGCUUCCUCACCGCUGACAUGGAGCUGAGAUAAGGAAUCCCUACAGGCUGGCAGCUUGAGAUAAGUGAGAAAGACUUGGAUUUGAGAAUCCACAGAUCUGCCCUGAUGAUCAUGAAGGAAUGCGAAAGAGCCUGGUAAAACGAUAUGGACUUGUGCAAAUGCAAAGCAAUGGUGAAGUCAUCACGAACCGCACAGACUGGACAGAACUCCUAUCUGGCUGCAAUGGCUUGGGUUCAGUCAGCCCAGGGGCCAGAGAAUUGGCUACAAAGAGCUCUGGAGUGCCCCUCCCUCCAAAUAAAGUAUUCUAAGCGUGCACUGAUCAACAUGAAGUUCGCAUUAACUUGGGGCUCCAAGCUCAAUUGAGGGGAGUGGGUGUCAGACAGAGGAGCCUCCUGGACCUGGUUCAAUCUUCACGCGGAGCUUGUUGAGUGGGUUUUCCUCUCCAGUGAUGUCCAUGUGCUGACGCAGCAGAGCCCGCCCCGUUGCAGCCUCCAAGCAGGUGUACGCAGCGCCUGGUGCAGAAUCAAACGUAAGCCUCGGGAAAA
rnacentral:lncRNA from 1 species